GAUGAACGCUGGCGGCGUGCUUAACACAUGCAAGUCGAACGAUGAAGCCCAGCUUGCUGGGUGGAUUAGUGGCGAACGGGUGAGUAACACGUGAGUAACCUGCCCUUAACUCUGGGAUAAGCCUGGGAAACUGGGUCUAAUACCGGAUAGGAGCGUCCACCGCAUGGUGGGUGUUGGAAAGAUUUAUCGGUUUUGGAUGGACACGCGGCCUAUCAGCUUGUUGGUGAGGUAAUGGCUCACCAAGGCGACGACGGGUAGCCGGCCUGAGAGGGUGACCGGCCACACUGGGACUGAGACACGGCCCAGACUCCUACGGGAGGCAGCAGUGGGGAAUAUUGCACAAUGGGCGCAAGCCUGAUGCAGCGACGCCGCGUGAGGGAUGACGGCCUUCGGGUUGUAAACCUCUUUCAGUAGGGAAGAAGCGAAAGUGACGGUACCUGCAGAAGAAGCACCGGCUAACUACGUG
rnacentral:rRNA from 1 species